GAAAGCUUAUGCUCUAAUAAAUUUGCUAGUUGUGUAAAUGGAGCCGGAGCCUCGGGAAAAUGGAGAUAACCAUGUCCAGCUGGCAGGAGCGAUUUAGGGAGGCAUCAGAUAAUUCCAGGUUGCAGUUUCACCAGGCUCCUGGUUCAAAAUACGGUGGGAACACCCACCAAUUUGGAUGUGACUACCACCCCUUUGGCUGAUACACCAGGAAUCCCAGAGCUGAGAGCCCAAGCUCCAUAGCUGUCUGCUAUAACACACACUCGCCGGUGGGCUACACAGGAUCUUCCAAAGGCCUCAGGGUUUCCUUCACCACUGCCCACCUCAGUUUCUUCCUCAGCCUUUUACUCCACUUUUCACCCAUCCCUUUUUGGAAAUUUAUUUGCAUAACAAUACAGCAGCAACGAGUCCAGGAUUCCUGGUGCUACCUACUUGGCACUGCCAUAGUCCCGUCCCUGAAGAGCUCACGCCAAGACAGACGCAGCAGGGAACGGGAAACGGCUUGUCCAAGGUCAUAGACCAGACGGCUGGCAGAAGUGGGAAUAGAACCCAGGGAUCCUGCCGCCUCGGCCAGUGACCCUAGCCCGUGGACCAGGCUGCCUAUGAUUAGAGAAUUUGCCACCCAAACCGCAGUCCAGACAGCAGUGAAGAAAGCAACUCACCUCUGGCUUCUGUCCCGACAAAUUCCUGAGAUGACGACAAGUGUUCUGGUGAGAUGAGUUGAAGUGGCAGGUAGAAUAAGAGAACGCAAGUGACGCAAAACAUAAUGAGGGCAAAGUUACAGGGAGUGGAUUUCAUGUAUCUCCUGGCCAAUUGUUUACUAUAUGCCGAUGAGCUGCAGCCGGAACAAGGUCCCCAAGAAAUAAAAGUCCCUCCCUCUUUGAACAUCCCCAGCCCAUCCCUUUGCAACAGUUGUUCCCAAGACUGAUUUGUUUGAAGAUAACUGAGCUGUGACAGCAAAGAAGAGGGAAGCAAUUGCACUGGAAACAGCAUCCAAAGAGGGACAAUAUAAGAUUGAAACCUACCAGAUCUGCCUUCCUGGUUGAUGUGACGCUGCCCCUUUCCCUGUGAAUGGGACGGGCAGAGCAAUUCCAGGUCUUCUUGAGCUCCUGAGGUCACUUUGCAGAGCAAGCGAGCAGGGGAUGGAUGGAACACUCCUCAGAGCUCUGCCCGGUAUGGCCAUCAGCUCCAUAGUCGGCCCACAUGCCCUGCAGAGCACGGCAGAGCCACCAUUCUACACCUUCCAUUUCUCCUUUGCCAUGGAGGGGUUGCCUAGGCUGAUAAGGAGAUUAUUAAUCACCACGCGUUUCAAAGCUAAAGAGCAGAUUUAGCCGCACUGCUCCCAUUGAUUCCAAUGUGCUGCCAAACUCCCUUUGAAAACCUCAACCGGGGUUUCAGGCCUGGAUGUGUCACCAAGGCCUUCAAGCUUUUGCCUUCCGACUCCUUCACCCCCUCGUGACUCCCAGCACUCGAGAGGUGAGCUGGACAGGAACACGGAGUGAUACCGGCUCUGCUUGGGGAAGACCAGCUAUGGGCCCUGUCCUGCUACAAAGCUCGCCCUCCCCCAGCCCAGAACUGUGACAGCUGAGGACAGCUUCCACCCCAAAUGGCUGCAAACAGAGGAGUGAGAAGGGGGGAACAAAGAAGACGCUGGAAAUGAAUUGCCCGUCAAUGACCUUUGGGUCUGGCUCGUAAUGGACAGAUGACACAAGUGGUUAAAACUUCAGCCCUUAAUACCAGUGACCCAUCGGAAGAGCCUCCAUAUCCCAUCUCGUCCACCUGCCUGCGAGAACUAUCCACUUCUGUGCCAGAUCGGGCCAAGUCAACUUGAAACAUUAUCUCAGUUCUCGCCUGGUAAAUGUCUCAAAGGCAAAAGUCCUUCUGCUGGUCAGGAUCAGCCUCCUCGAGCUGGAUGCCACCUCCGUCUUCUACAGAGACCUUCCUUUGGUUUCCACAGCAAGUCAUUGUUGGUCAGAGAUUCACUACUCAGCAGUGGUUCCAACCACUCUUUAUUAAGGCAAACCACUAACAAAUAAUAAUCAGCGCACUCACAAGUGGGAAGCUCCAGGUGAUCUCCGCACAACUGCUUCCCGCACUGGACAAUCCAGCUUCUGUUUGCCUUUGGUUGACUAUUUUUAACUUUUGUUGACGUUAUUCAUACAUAUGCCUUAGUUUCUUAUUACAGUACCCUGUGAAGUCCCCUGCCCUGUCAGUACAGGUCUGGGUUAGCUCGAACAAGUUUCUUCCAGUUUCAUGGCUACUUUAUCUUUUGUUUUUCCUAUAAACGUGAUCACUCUGCAAUUACACCUGCAGAGUUCUAACUAAAAGUUAAACAUUACCAAACCAGACCCUUAAAAAGGCUUCUUAUCAGGCCUAAAAUAUGCCUUUGAUCUUGGGAUCAUCCCUGAUCCUGACCACUCUCUCGUGUCUCAAAUCCCCGAUAGGUGACCUUUCAGUGGGUGCCUAGCUGCUCUUUGUGCCUAUAAAAAUAAUCUCCCCAUAAUCCACCUCCAGAUCUUGUGUAACCCACUCCACCUCCACUCUUCCUCUGCUGAAACUCUCUCCCCUGGAUUAGUUGCACCUACUUUCCAGCUGGCCUUCUCAAAUCUCAGCUCUCCAGGCACCAGCAUCUGCAGAAUGCUACUUCCCACCAUGCUGAGAAACCUCCCCCGCUACAUUGCCUCUCUCCAUCCUCAGACUUCACUGGCUCCCCACUUCUUUCAGGGCUGCUGUCCUUGGUUUUGGAAGCCAUGAUGGAGCCUGAUCCUCUAACCACCCCUUUGCACGCAGACUCCCUGCUGAAGGGAAGCAUGGAGGGCUAGCCAGAGCGGUCCCUCGAAAGAGCUCUUAACAGUACUGGUGUGAGCAUCCAUGGAACCAGAAGUUGUGUCUUCUGGUCCCUGGGUAUCUGCCACAUCCACAUCACCACCCAAUAGCUCUGAGGAAGCAGAGAUGUGCCGCCCGCAAAGGGUCUGAUUGGCAGUGCUUCCUAGUUCCCUGAUUGAUCCAGAUCAAGUUGGCUCCUGAUCUCUGACUCCAGCUCUGCCCCUUAGCUCUGGUCCCAGGCCCCCUAUUCCUGCUCCACCCACUAAGCCGGAGCACCCGUGCCCUGCCCAUGACAGCUGGUAGCUUUGGCAAGAUUGAAAUGCAAUGCAUAUUUUAUGUUCCUGAGUCCGUUCUUUGAUUUCCUCAUUGCUGUGUGUGUCAGACGUUUGUCGUCACAUAUAGGCUUCCACUUACGUCUUCUUGACCCUGAAUACUGGAGCCAGGUAAUAAACGCUUGUGUUUUCUCUGCUCUUUAUGGCAUUUGCCAAAAUGAUGUUACCCCAUUUUAAACAAGAGCGGUUGAAACUUGACAUUUCCAGCGGAUGGGGAAAUUUUGAUAUUUUAAAAUUUGGUUUUAGUCCAAAUUGCAACGAAAACCAAGAUUUUUGAAAUUUCAGAACAUCUGAAAAUUUUCAGUUUUGGAAGGCUUUCAUUUUGAAAUUCUGACAUUUUGGUUUCAAAUUCUAUUUGUUUUUCCAUUUUAAAUAUUUUCAUUAUUUUUACAUUAUUUCAUGUCCGCAAUAGUCAUGCAUAAUAUUCAUGAUUGCUAGGCCGUGCCAUAAUAUGACAUAAUAGUUAAAAAUCAUUAAGGGCAGUUGUGACGGGUGGAAUCACAGAAACCGCCUUGGGAGCUGCCACCUAAUGUACCAAGACAACCUCUGCUCCUGUUUUUCCUGCCAGCUCAGGACUCCAGCACCUGUCUUGCUGAGCCAGACACUCCCGUCUGCUCCAACACAGACCC